CCUCGCGAGAGCAAGCGGACCUCAUAAAGUGCGUCGUAGUCCGGAUUGGAGUCUGCAACUCGACUCCAUGAAGUCGGAAUCGCUAGUAAUCGUGGAUCAGAAUGCCACGGGGAAUACGUUCCCGGGCCUUGUACACACCGCCCGUCACACCAUGGGAGUGGGUUGCAAAAGAAGUAGGUAGCUUAACCUUCGGGAGGGCGCUUACCACUUUGUGAUUCAUG
rnacentral:rRNA from 1 species